GGCGAAUGAACAGGGAUCGGCUCAGCAUGGAAAUUGGGGCCAUUGGCCCUGAAUUGUAGUCUCAAGAUGUACUGCCAACGGAGGCGCAGAUGUAAGCCUCUUGGAAAAGAGCAUCAGCGAGGGUGACAAUCCCGCUUGCCAUCUGCAGCCCCCCGUGCACGGUGUACCUUCUAAGAGUCACGUUCCUCGGGAUUGGAGCGCAAAGUGGGUGGUAAAUUUCAUCUACAGCUAAAUACUGGUUCGAGACCGAUAGCAAACAAGUACCAUGAGGGAAAGGUGAAAAGGACUUUGAAAAGAGAGUUAGAAGUGCCUGAACUUGCUGAAAGGGAAGCGAAUGGAACCAGCGUUGCUUGGCAAGAUUGUUGUGCACCACUGUGAGGGUCUGCUACGCUAGCGCAAGCGGUGUGGUAGACUCUGAGCAGGACUUGCACGGUGUUUCUUGCCUUGUGUGUCAGCGUCAGUUCGCGCUUGGGGAAGACGUCAAGGACAUGGUAGCCUGCCCACGGGCGUGUGAAUGUGCUUGCCUGAACUCACGCGGGAACUGCACGGUGACUAAAUAGUUCUUUUCGACCCGUCUUGAAACACGGACCAAGGAG
rnacentral:rRNA from 1 species